UGCAGGAACAAUACACCACUCUCCGACCAAUUACACCACGUCUACAUAUCUCACGCUGCUGCCCAGACGACCGAGCUGAAGGAGUCUGGAGGGUCAGAUCAGAACACCAGCAGCUCACUGUCCUCCACAGCUCCGGAGAUUAACCCUUUCAUACCCGAAUAUAAUAUAUAUAAUAUACAACACUUCAGUUUCUGAAUCAGUUUCUCUGAUUUUGCUAUUUAUAGGUUUAUGUUUGAGUAAAAUGAACAUUGUUGUUUUAUUCUAUAAACUACAGACAACAUUUCUCCCAAAUUACAAAUAAAAAUAUUCUCAUUUAGAGCAUUUAUUUACAGAAAAUGAGAAAUGUCUGAAAUAACAAAAAAGAUGCAGAACUUUCAGACCUCAAAUAAUGCAAAGAAAACAAGUUCAUAUUCAUAAAGUUUUAAGAGUUCAGAAAUAAUCAAUAUUUGGUGGAAUAACACUGGUUGGUUUUUAAUCACAGUUUUUUUUCAUACAUCUUGGCAUCAUGUUCUCCUCCACCAGUCUUACACACUGCUUUUGGAUAACUUUAUGCUGCUUUACUCCUGGUGUAAAAAUUCAAGCAGUUCAGUUUGGUGGUUUGAUGGUUUGUGAUCAUCCAUCUUCCUCUUGAUUAUAUUCCAGAGGUUUUUAAUUUGGUAAAAUCAAAGAAACUCAUCAUUUUUUAAGUGGUGUGAACCUGGUACCACCAACACAAUUGGCACUUUUAAAAUACUUUUUAAAGUUCUCAGAACACCAUGAAUCUCUAAAAUUUCUAAAAUCUGAAUGAAACAAAUUCUAAUCAUUUUUCAAACCACCUCCAAAUGUGAUUUGGAUCUGAUUUGCAAAAAUUUAGAUUUUUGUGGUUUCUGGCUGUUCAGACUGUGUCUCAAAUCCAAAUUCUGGAUACAAUCUAGCUUUGACCUUGCAGUCUGAAUGUAGCGAAAUUGAAGUCCAGUCCAGUGUUUUGUUGUUGGCAUCGUUAGCAUUGUUAGCAUCGUUAGCCUAGCAUCUCCUGUAUAUAAGCUAGGCCUGCGUGAGCACACAUGGCCGUACCGAACGUCCUGACCGACCGGAUGAACCUGAGCUCAGAAAUCAGACCUGGCCUCCGGUGCCGUAUGCUAAUCUGCUAGCGUGUGAUUGGGUCGGGCCCUGGAGUGUAGCUGAAGCAGGGGGUGUACAGCAGCACAGCGUUAUAGAUAAGGCUUUUAUAUGAUCUGCUGUGGAAGCUUUUAGUUGCAGAAGCAGAUUUCACCUGUCUCGUCCUCCAUCUAUGGAUUUUCAACUAGACCUACAUCAGAUUUACCAUUACGAGUGUAUAAGUUAAUGUGUACAUAUAUAAAUACAUGUAUAAAAAUAUUAAAGCUUUUUAACUACUGUA